ensembl:lncRNA
AGAGCUGGCCACACUAUAUAACCUUUGCAUCAUCACCUCCAUCGCCCACCUGCCCCUCCACCACCACACACAGCCCCAGCCUCCUCUGGCUACACCUUGUUCUUGGUCACAUAGUUCUAGCACAUGGAAAUAAAUUGGAGGUAGCAGCAUACCUCUUCUUCCUAAGAUCAUCUCCAUCAUCUUGUGACCAAAGGAGAAAAUAACUCCCCAGCUGUCAGUGGCUUUCUCAGCUGCCAACACAAGAACCUGAGCAUACAGAGGAAUUAAGGACAGAGAGUCAACAUGCACAUUUCUGCUUAUACCACGUGGGCUUCUGCUGGUGGUCAUGGAGGAUGUUCACAAACCAACCGGGAGGAUAUUGAAGAGCCACUAGAGAAAUAGUUGUACCACCCUUGAGAACCACUGCCUCAGAGGACACUUUAACAAAUGCCAGGGUCUGGAAUGCAGGCAUGAUGGCAGGCCCUUUAACCCCCAUGUGACCAGCAGGAGGCCACCAACGUAAAGAAAAGGCCAAGAAACUUUCAAAGACUCAUGCUGCUGGAUUAAGGCCAGCAACUUCCUCCAUUCAGACUUUUAAUAUAUAUUACAAAAAAAGCUUAUUUGC